ensembl:lncRNA
CAGCCCGUUUAAACACUUCAAAGACUUUUGAAACUGCAUUUGGACUUAAAAACGAUGGUAACCAAUGAAGUCCAUUGUUAGAUGAAAAAUCCAGAAAUGUUUUCUUCAAAAAACAUAAUUUCUCUCGCACUGAGGAAAGAAAGACAUGGAUAUCUUAGAUGGCAUUGGGGUUGGGACCAACAUGGUUGAAUAUUUAAACCAUGAGAUGACUGGAGCAUUGCUGCACAUUCUAUGCCUCAGUGAUGAGACAAGGGGGACAUCACAGACCUUUGCCAUUAUUCCAGGCCA